UAGGAGGCUGUACGGUGUCUCUGAGGCACACUGCAGGCGCUAUGAACCAGAGCAAAGACUAACGUCGCCUCAUAACAAAGCCGUGACCUCCGAUUUGCUUGGGGCUAUUUCAGCAAGUCCAGAUUUACUGCUGAGAAUGACGACAUUGUUUCUGCCCGUAAGACGUAUUAUGAGUCGGUACACCGGAGCUUCAGAUACAAACAACCUGAACUCGCAUCGCAGGCGGAAAAUGCGAAAAGUUUAGCUCGGAGUCGAUUCAGAAGAAAAAGGUUGCUGGAAGCGAGACGAAGUGUGCUGGCUGAGGAUGAGAUGGACAUUUGGAAGUGCGCCACCAUAGAUCUCAUAUCUGAUGAGGAAGACGGCAUUGUUUGCG